AAGCGGUGGAGCAUGUGGUUAAUCGUAAGCAACGCGAAGAACCUUACCAGGUCUUGACGUCCCGAUGCUAUUCUAGAGAUAGAAAGUUACUUCGGUACAUCGGUGACAGGUGGUGCAUGGUUGUCGUCAGCUCGUGUCGUGAGAUGUUGGGUUAAGUCCCGCAACGAGCGCAACCCCUAUUGUUAGUUGCCAUCAUUCAGUUGGGCACUCUAGCGAGACUGCCGGUAAUAAACCGGAGGAAGGUGGGGAUGACGUCAAAUCAUCAUGCCCCUUAUGACCUGGGCUACACACGUGCUACAAUGGUUGGUACAACGAGUUGCGAGUCGGUGACGGCGAGCUAAUCUCUUAAAGCCAAUCUCAGUUCGGAUUGUAGGCUGCAACUCGCCUACAUGAAGUCGGAAUCGCUAGUAAUCGCGGAUCAGCACGCCGCGGUGAAUACGUUCCCGGGCCUU
rnacentral:rRNA from 1 species